GUCAUCAUAAGCCGCCGGUGAAUUGAACCCGUUAUUGAUAGGACUUCUCUCCCACUCCAACUGCAAGUGCUCAAAAUCUCUUAAAUCUCCGGCUGUCACCGACAGGGGCACAGGGCGUAGCAAAUAAAGAAUCAAAUUCUACUUAAAGCUACUAAAUUUGAUUCCGAGAGCGAUGAGGAGUACAAUCACAAUAGGGAGAUCUCUGCAGUUUUUUAUUUUCUAUUUCUCGGUUUUUCUUCUUCGAUCAAUUACAGGUUUGCCUUCUUUUCAACUAAGUAACUUUAUGUAUUAAUUACUGGUAAUUUUUCUAAAACAUGGUAUUUUUUGUGAACUUCGGAAAUUUUAUCUGUAUCACUGUUAAGUUUUUCCCCCCGUAAAUCUGAAAUUUAGGUAGAAUAUAGAUUUCCUUCCAGAGUUUAUGCCUGACUAAUUCCUAAUUAUAUUGUAUUAGUUUUAUAUUUGACGUCAAUUUUUGGUUUUGCUUUGACGUUUCAAAAAAUUGCGUUAUUUUUCCAGAUGUGGCUUUUGAUGGGGAUCGCAUAUGAAAAAAUUGGAAAUCUUUAACUAUGGGUGGACCGUGAACUUCUGCCACUUUUCGUUGUUUCUAUUAUUACUUGAAUCUAAAUUUGGUUGUUUGUUUUAAGUGUACGGAACUACUAAAAUCGGUGAACUCGAUUUUCACAAAAUGUAGACAAAUCGGGAGUAAUGUCUUGUAAGUUUCAAAUCUCUAGUUUUCCUGAUGAAUUUUUUAGCAUUUUUAACGUUAUAACAUAUUAUUUUGGGUACUUUUGCUGAUAUUGUUGCUAUCAUUUCUUAUUAUGCUUGAGAUUUCAUUGUUUAGAUACAGUUUGAUUUGACAGUUCAACCAAUUAACUGUAAUAGAGUAAUCUAUCAAAAUUUGAGCUGUUCUUCGAUUUAGUAGAAACAUUUGUCAUCAAAUUUAGAUUUAUCACACUUUCUCUACUUUUCUAUAUUGUUCUACUUAAAUCUCAAAAAACAUCUUUAGCUUUUUUGUUCUUUUGUAUUAUAAACAUUGAGUCGCUCUUGAUGCAGCUACUAAUGAU
rnacentral:lncRNA from 1 species